AGAGACAGCAGUAGCCACGGUAAUACGGAGGAUCCAAGCGUUAUCCGGAAUCAUUGGGUUUAAAGGGUCCGUAGGCGGUUUAGUAAGUCAGUGGUGAAAGCCCAUCGCUCAACGGUGGAACGGCCAUUGAUACUGCUGAACUUGAAUUAUUAGGAAGUAACUAGAAUAUGUAGUGUAGCGGUGAAAUGCUUAGAGAUUACAUGGAAUACCAAUUGCGAAGGCAGGUUACUACUAAUUGAUUGACGCUGAUGGACGAAAGCGUGGGGAGCGAACAGGAUUAGAUACCCCGGUAGUCCCUGUCUCUUAUAC
rnacentral:rRNA from 1 species